UACGUAGGGGGCAAGCGUUGUCCGGAAUCAUUGGGCGUAAAGCGCGCGUAGGCGGCCCGGUAAGUCCGCUGUAAAAGUCCAGGGCUCAACCCUGGAAAGCCGGUGGAUACUGUCGGGCUAGAGUCCAGAAGAGGCGAGUGGAAUUCAUGGUGUAGCGGUGGAAUGCGCAGAUAUCAGGAGGAACACCGAUGGCGAAGGCAGCUCGCUGGGACGGUACUGACGCUGAGGCGCGAAAGCGUGGGGAGCGAACAGG
rnacentral:rRNA from 1 species